rnacentral:rRNA from 1 species
AACGAACGCUGGCGGCGUGCUUAACACAUGCAAGUCGCACGAGAAAGUCCCCUUCGGGGGAUGAGUAAAGUGGCGGACGGGUGAGUAACACGUGAGUAACCUGCCCUCGGGUUUGGGAUAACAUUCCGAAAGGAGUGCUAAUACCGGCUAAGACCACAGGGGUUCCGGCCCCAGGGGUAAAAGGUGGCCUCUGACACAAGCUACCGCCCGAGGAUGGGCUCGCGCACCAUUAGCUAGUUGGUGGGGUAAAGGCUCACCAAGGCUGCGAUGGUUAGCCGACCUGAGAGGGUGAUCGGCCACACUGGAACUGAGAUACGGUCCAGACUCCUACGGGAGGCAGCAGUGGGGAAUAUUGGGCAAUGGGGGAAACCCUGACCCAGCAACGCCGCGUGGGCGAUGAAGGCCUUCGGGUUGUAAAGCCCUGUCAGGUGGGAAGAAACCCGAAGGGGCUAAUACCUCCUUCGAUUGACGGUACCACCAAAGGAAGCCCCGGCUAACUCCGUGCCAGCAGCCGCGGUAAUACGGAGGGGGCAAGCGUUGUUCGGAAUUACUGGGCGUAAAGCGCGUGUAGGCGGCCGGAUAAGUCAGACGUGAAAGCCCUCGGCUCAACCGGGGAAGUGCGUUUGAUACUGUUCGGCUUGAGUACGGGAGAGGAGAGCGGAAUUCCCAGUGUAGCGGUGAAAUGCGUAGAUAUUGGGAAGAACACCGGUGGCGAAGGCGGCUCUCUGGACCGUCACUGACGCUGAGACGCGAAAGCUAGGGGAGCAAACGGGAUUAGAUACCCCGGUAGUCCUAGCCGUAAACGUUGGGCACUAGGUGUAGGAGGUAUCGACCCCCCCUGUGCCGCAGCUAACGCACUAAGUGCCCCGCCUGGGGAGUACGGUCGCAAGGCUGAAACUCAAAGGAAUUGACGGGGGCCCGCACAAGCGGUGGAGCAUGUGGUUUAAUUCGACGCAACGCGAAGAACCAUACCUGGGCUUGACAUGUACCGGAAAGCUCUGGAAACAGAGCCUCCUCUUCGGAGGCCGGCGCACAGGUGCUGCAUGGUUGUCGUCAGCUCGUGUCGUGAGAUGUUGGGUUAAGUCCCGCAACGAGCGCAGCCCUCGCCCUUAGUUGCCAGCGGUUCGGCCGGGAACUCUAAGGGAACUGCCGGCGAUAAGCCGGAGGAAGGUGGGGAUGACGUCAAGUCCUCAUGGCCCUUAUGCCCAGGGCUACACACGUGCUACAAUGGCCGAUACAAAGGGCUGCAAACCCGCGAGGGGGAGCCAAUCCCACAAAGUCGGCCUCAGUUCGGAUUGGAGUCUGCAAUUCGACUCCAUGAAGCCGGAAUCGCUAGUAAUCGUGGAUCAGCAUGCCACGGUGAAUACGUUCCCGGGCCUUGUACACACCGCCCGUCACACCACGAAAGUCGGCUGUACCAGAAGUCGCUGGGCUAACCCGUAAGGGAGGCAGGCGCCGUAGGUGUGGUCGGCAAUUGGGGUG